rnacentral:rRNA from 1 species
CUUGCUGUCACUUAUAGAUGGAUCCGCGCUGCAUUAGCUAGUUGGUAAGGUAACGGCUUACCAAGGCAACGAUGCAUAGCCGACCUGAGAGGGUGAUCGGCCACACUGGAACUGAGACACGGUCCAGACUCCUACGGGAGGCAGCAGUAGGGAAUCUUCCGCAAUGGGCGAAAGCCUGACGGAGCAACGCCGCGUGAGUGAUGAAGGUCUUCGGAUCGUAAAACUCUGUUAUUAGGGAAGAACAUAUGUGUAAGUAACUGUGCACAUCUUGACGGUACCUAAUCAGAAAGCCACGGCUAACUACGUGCCAGCAGCCGCGGUAAUACGUAGGUGGCAAGCGUUAUCCGGAAUUAUUGGGCGUAAAGCGCGCGUAGGCGGUUUUUUAAGUCUGAUGUGAAAGCCCACGGC